AAGAAAAGGCACAGAAAUGUAUCCAGUGUGCAUAAGACAGACAGGCAGAGGUGGCGAGGAUAUCCUGUACUCCUGGAUCAGUUUGGAAAUAAAGAUGCCUAAUGAAGACAGAUCAGACCCACCUAAUCUCAGUGAGUUUCAGGCCUUAGCUUAAAAUUUCUGACUCACUUUUCACACUGGAAAAGUCAUGAAACUGUAGAUGAGGUAAUUUGAUGGCCCACACACGGCCAGCAGAACCCAGACCUGACUGCAGAGGUAGGGGCCAUCACUUAACUUUCCUGAAGCGAAUCUGACACUGGCUAUGCAAAGAAUGUUCUGUUCCCUUCCCCUUUUCUCUAGAUUUCCCCGUCACUGUGCGAUCUGACUUCCUGUUCUCAUAUAAAAAAAGAGAGAGGCCUGCUUAGCUUUCAGGGUUCUCUUUUUGCAAGCUUAACCCUCACUCCUCCACACUUUAUUCCAGCGGCUCUUUGGUGCAGGGCACGCUCGGAGUUGCAGCAGCAGAAAUGUUAGGUCUUGACAACAGUGUCAAUACCGAGCAGUGAGCAGAAGGAAAAUCAUCCACGUCCUCCUCCAAUAAGUUUACAACAAUAACACCGUGGCCGACUUGGCAACGCUCCGCGGGUGACACAUCCGAAACCGAUCGCCACGUUAAUUAGCGCGGAUCCCCGCACAGCGGCUUUUCGGCGCGGAGAAGGCACUCGAAAAGCACGCCGGGCUCCCCGGUACGCCGCUGGGACCGGGACGGAGCCGCCCGCAGCGCUGACAGCGGGACGGCCCACAGCCUCCAAUCCCUUCGGCGGCACUGCUCAGGUUCCCAUGCCGGCGCAAGUUUCGGCUCCGCGCGGCCGCAGGGAGCCGGACUGCUCGGGGCGGAGGGGACAGUGGGGAGGCCCCGCGCAUCGCCCCCGUCCCGCUUCAGGAGAAGCCUUAGAGCGGCUCGAGCGGAGCAGCCGCCGCCCGUGACAAGCGCAGCGGAGAUCUUAUCGGCAGGAGGAAGUGCCGAGCUAUCGCGCUGCUUUUCUCCGAACCGUCGGCUUUACCAGGUGUCCAAAAUGACCACAUUCACCAAGGCCACAGCUUGCUGCCAUUUCCUGAGGUUCAUGGUGACUCUGGCUGUCACCACAGCUGUGUAAACCUGACUACAGACCUGCAAGUGGAAGGAAAACCUGGCAUGCCUCUGGAAAUCACCCCUGUGAUUCACCGGGUGUCAUUCCUCUGAGUAAGCAUUGAGCUCAUGUCCAGCUUGAAGAUCACUGUGCUUUAUGAAAUACAAAUACGUAAUGUACAUCCAAGACCACGAGUCAUGUCUGCAAUGUUCUCUGCAGCAUGUAUGUCGGUAUUUGCCAGUCAUGAAUUCCCCACCACCCUCAGUGAACAAUUAGGCUGAUGAUUACAGCUGCUGGUUGUAUUGGAACUGUUGAAUUAUGGUCUGAACCACUGAUUGACCACCUGAAGCAAGGACUGAGUCAUCUAUGGGAGCACAGGUGAAGGCAUUUCACAUUUUUGACCUGCAGGGAUGGAGCCUGGCUGCACCUCUCCUAGACUCCAUUUAAGUGCUGACUGCCAUGGGGGAAGGAUCACUUUCUGGAGAUCCUUCCUUUUGGAGUUUUCUGCUGUGAGCUGAGGAUGUGGGUGAGUGUUUUGGUUUUGAUUGUUGUGAAAAGCUGUCCUAACCACACCACUUUUCUAAUUGUACAAUUGUUAAUUGUAUGAGGGUGUGUGAUCACCCUGGCAUAUGAACUAUUUGCUAGAAGUAGUCUUUAAGUGCUUAAGGAAUAAAUCUGCAAGUUGUUUUUUUUUUUCUUUUUUCUUUUUCUUUUUUUUUUAAUUUAAUAAAUUCUUCUGCUAUUAGGUACUUAUGCAAAAAAGAACAGGCUAUUUAAGCCUUCAAAUAUAUUUUGAGUUAUGUUCUAUAAAGUCCUUAAUUGAUAAAUUUGACUUAUUUUUUUUUACUUUUGCCAUAUGUGUGUCAUACAAGAAAUUUUUCUUGUGUGAUUUUCCUUGACUCUUUUCCCUUGCUGGCACACUCUGUUAGCCUUGUUGCUUGUCUAUAACUGGUUUUUAUCUUUAUUUCUAGCUUCUGUUAGCUUUUUUUGAGGAUCAGUGCAAAAGCAGUGCUCCUUAUGUGCACAUGGAUUUUGAUAUAUACUUCAUAUCUUCACCUUAGAACUAUACAGUCUUUUUCUUUGUGUAUGUCACUAAGUAUUUGUCCCUGCAUUAACUACUUUCUUUCCUCUGAAAGUGGAAAGCAAGUGGUUCAGUCAGAUCUAAACUGUGUUUUUACUCUGCUGUUUAAUUUUAUAUUGUGUUCUGAAAAAAAAAAAAAGUGUUUAAGGAAGACUAAAACUGCAAAAUAAUCCCUAAGUUUAUAUAAGUCCUCACGACAGUCUCUAGGUAAGCAUACAUUAUUAGACAGUCCUUACCUAAAUAAGAGCAUGUUAUUUCUGAAAGACUCUUGCCAAAAAAAAAAAAAACCAUGCAUUCUGUACCUGAUAAUCAAUGCUCUUAAUCAGUAAGGGAACUGUAAUGUGAGGGAGGAAGCUAGCUGGGAGAAAGAUUACAAGUAGCACUGAAAGAGCUUUGUUACUAGCGAUAUCUGGUGGAACUCUUCAGGAGGUAUGUCUUCAAACAAACUCUGUUCAGUAACUUCAUUAAAAAGAUUAGUCUGGAGAUAAAAAUACAUGGUGAUCGAAUUUGCCAAUAGCAAAACAUGCAUCUAUUUUUAAUAGAGAAGAAGACUGCAAGAUUCAGGAAGAACUGGAUGACUGUAAGGACUGGAAUAAGGGAUAUAAAGGAAAAACUGAAUAGUGUAUAGUGCAAAUACCAUCCAGCGCUAAUUCAGAGAGUUUCUGUUGUUAGCAUGCUGACUGUAAACAGCUGUGGAGGAGACAGCUGCAGUGGGUGGUUGAUCACAAUGCUUAUAAGUCCCAGGUACAGCCCCAGAGGAGACAGGUGUACUAGAUGAGGUUGAUUAUCAUAGUGCUGGAAAUGAGUUGUAGUUUUUGAUUUGCAGGAGACUUCUUCUCUAUGAUAUUUCUUUGAAUCUGAAAAUAUUAGCAUGAGAACAGGUAUCAUCUGCCCCUGUGCAAAUUCAGACUGAACACUAGAAGUUUCCUGGUAAAGUGUCCUAUGAAUUCUGGAGAUGGUGAGAUUAUGACUUCUCAUAUUCUGGGCAAGCAAUCCAAUAAGCUUAAAUCAAACUUUGAGCUUUUGGGGAAAAGAUUAUGUGGUUGAUUGGAAUUGCAGAGAAAUAGAUUUAGUGAUAUACAUCAUAAUUUAAGUCUGAAUAUUUUAUGGCUCUAUGAAGAGUAAGCCUUUUCAGUAUCGUGUUGUUCUAUGCAUUAUAUACAGCUUACAGCAGUCUAUAUUGAGUAUAGAACAAUUAGCUUCCUUUUUACAACUUCUGUUUCUGUUACUUAAUUCAUUUUAGCAAAGAUUGAAUGAAAGAUUGUUUAUGUUGUAUAUAUGCAGUACCAAAGUAUUGAGAGUAAAACUCAGACAGUUAAAUUAGGUUCUGCUGGGUAACUACAAGCUAUUCUUCACAAUAUUUAAAAUUUUGUAUUUGAAUAAUACUUGCCAACUCAGCUGAGAGAAAUCAGCUCUGUUGCAAUUCAGGUCACAGGUGCCUUUUUGUGUGUGCUCUGAGUGACACUUAGAUUGAGGAACUGUAAGGAAGAAGCAGUUUAAACUAAAAUUCUCCGUUAUGUUGUCCAGCGUUCUGCUGUAGCAGACCCUGUUUGUUUUCACUUGAGGUGUUCCUUGUGAGUAGAGGUGUUUAUCCAGCAGUAUUGUGGCUCAAGCUGACUGUUAAAACAUUGAAAGAAAAUGAAAUGAUGCUGAUACACAAAUUAUGCAAAAUACGUGACUAUACAACAUGGUUGAAUUAAUACCAUUCUUUAAGUGCUCUGCCUGGCACUGUUUUUAUCCCAAGUCUGGGUUUAGAUAACAACUUCCACAGACUCCAACUUCAAUACACAGGGUUUCAGUGGUAAUAUCAAGCUAAGGCAUCUUUGUCAUGUCUAUGCCUGGCCUUUGGUUACUCCGGCACUGCAGCUCACAUCUGCCUGGUAUGUCUACAGCUGGUUGGGGGACCGUGCUGUGUGCUAAGUCAGUCAACAGAUCUGAUCUUUUUGUGCAUGCUUGCUUUCUUUCUAACGCAAGUCAGCUCAAUCAUCUAGUUCACAUAAUGACUCACAAACUGUUGCUCUGGUUUCACCUAGAAGAGGCACAUGCCCUACCACCUGUGCAGGAACAAACAACCUGAAAAGCACCUUGAGAUGCUGUGUCACAGAACAGAGGGGUACAUCUGCUUUGGACAUGAGAUGUGUGAACUUUGCUUGGAAAUAAGUGUUCAACUGUGAAUAGGUGUUUGGUGAAUAGGCUGUAGACAUAAUGAAAUUAUCAAUGUAAGCAAAUCCACACUCUCAUCUUGGUGAAUUUGACAAGAGAAGAUGGCUUUGAUAUCUACUGGUACUGCUAAUAGUUCGAUACUAUUGUUUCAUCUUCUCCAUCUAGAGAAGAUAAUAAUUUAUUGCAUUUUCUCCUAAUUUUACUACCAGGAAUGGUUUCAUUAAGUUAGCUGAAAUAUGCAGAAAUCUGGUAGCAAGUAGUGGCUUGGAAAAAUUCUGCUCUAAUAGUUGAUGCUUGCUAGCUUUAUGAAGGAAAGAGUUGAAAAUUAUAAGGAUAUACAAAUAAAGUUCGUAAUAUUGUUUUUGAACUGUUGUCUUACUCUGUUCUUUUAUGCUCUGCUUUUGACAGCCUGUAUGAGCACUUAAAAAAUAAAAGUGCUAUGAUACAUAAUAAAAGUGAGUUUCUGGGAAACCUAUGCCUGUCAGGUAGUGAUUUUAUGAAACCCAAGAAAAAAAAAGUGUUAAUCUUAUCAUCAACUACCAGUUUCAUCUUUAUUUCAAAGCUUCUACUUAAUCAGAAUUCCUGAACAGUCAGACCCGAACUUUUCUCACACUAAGGUGUUUCAGGUUGCACAGGUGCAUUUGAGAAGUGUUUUCCCUCAGAUGUUUGUUGAAGCCUUGGAUUAAAUCUAGAAUUUUUAUGUUAAUGAAUUCUGUGUUGAGAUAUAUUAUCAUGCUUACCUGCCACAUGGUUUCACAAAGGGGGGUCAUUCUGCCUUUCUUACUGUUCCUUUCAAAGAAAUUUUUAAAAAUCUGGUGAUUUUAGCAGAUGAGCUAAUUAUAAUGCAAUGUUAUCUUCCUUUUUGCAUACAGUUCUCAUAGAUAUCACAUAAGAUGUAACUACCACAAAGCUUUACUCAGUGUUGAGCAGUGAGUGAUCAGUCAAAGAAUUGCCCUUCAAGUUAUUUUAAUUAUGGAAUUGGGAAAUGAUGAGGAUAAAACAGUGCUUCAAAUUUGUCUAUUCAUAUAUUGCUCGUCAGCUUCCUUGAUAACUCAGCUAUGGUCUCAUACUGAGUAUGAGAAACUCACAUGUGACAGUGAUUUCAAAUGAGUUAGCUAACCUAACUCAACUCAACUGUAAAUACUAUAAGCUAUCAACAUUGCAGCAGCUAAGAGUCUUUAUCUCAGUUGUGAGUUUAUGAUUUAGAAAGCACUUAUUUCUGGUUUGAAGAUGAAAUAAAAAUUGAAAAUGUAGAUGUUGAAUCAUAAAAUCUACAAGUACUUUUAAAAAUAUUGGAGCAUCUUAAGUCCAAUUCUCAGUCUAGGAUUUGUGUAUAGGAAUGCCAGCUGUGCUUGAAGUAGUCAGGGAUGAAAGCUUUUAAUGGAAUGAAAAAUCUUUUUCUCUCAUUCUAGCUAAAACUGCAGUUUCCUGUGAUGUGAAAGUUACAUUUCUUUAGCAGAUAGAUGACAUACAAACAGAAAGGUAGAGUCUAACAUCUAAUGAAUAAGACUAGAAAUUUUGUAAAGAAAUUCUACAAAGGAAAAAUCUAGUGAAGUCAUUGAACAAACUAUCAGACAGAGAGAAAGUAGUAGAGAUCCAUGCUGCAUACAUCACUAAGGAAUAUGAAAACACAUAUCUUACUGAAACAGUUCCCAGUUCCCUACAUAGCCUGGGUAUCUGUUGGCUUUAAAAGGUGAAGAAAGAAAAAGAAUAAAAAAUUCUGUAAAGAAAUAUCAAAGGCCACUGGAGAAAGAUCUUUUAAAAACAGGGACAGUAGCACAUGGAAAAAUGGUUGGGGCUACCAAAAAUGAAAGAGUAAUAACAUAAUAAUAAUAUAAUAAAUAAUUAAUAAUAAAUAAUUAAAAUAACAAUUUAUUACAUUAAACCAUCAGACUAUAUAUCUUAAAAGCAAUAGCAAUUCAAAAUUUAUGAGGCCUAUCUGUAAGGCGUUUUUACUCAAGUUAAAAGCUGCAAUUAUAACGUUUACCAAAGGUUUGUACUGUUUUAAAGAUUAGUUCUCUGAAUCCAGUUAGUGUUUUCA